AUGAACUGCGUAAUACUAUUGCACAGACCCACCUUCUCUCCUAACCAUCCUCUUUCUCUCUCUCUAGGGAACACAUCUAACCCUAGAAACUCUUCAACGGCUUUCCCACGCUUCCCUAAUAAGGAGAUCGAAUUAACCUCUUCUUUGUCAACCUCCUUUGCCCAAACUGUCCGUUCGCCGCCGUUCCUCCGUUCGCCGCCGUUCCCCCAUCGAUGGCCAUUUAUAACAACCUUGCAAGCGGAGCCACCGCUUUAAUUGUCUUCUUCACCAACCUCUUCCGCCCACAUGUGGUCGCUCCGCUCUCUGCCACUCGGUCUUUCGUUGCUCCACCCAAGUUUUUCUACACUACGGCUCCCACCGGAAGUCCUGACAGCGUCGGCGCCUGCAACCACCUUGGGGGUUUGAGGCUAAGGCAGUGAAGAAGGGUUUAUACUUUAUAUGUGAGAUUGGACAUGCCUGGGGUUGAGGAAGAGGAUGGGUUUAUAUGUGAGAUUGGACAUGCCUGGGGUUGAGGAAGAGGACAUGGAGGUAUGGCUGGAGUAUGACACCCUUUUUGUCAAAGGUGUAGCCCGGAAAGCAUGGGAGCAAGAAGUCUACGGCAGGUUGUACUGUGGGAGCAGAGAACUUCUGCCCCAGUAGGGGAAGAAGGGGUUGAUUAUGUUAAGAAUUCACAUCAUUUUUAUGUUCCAAGAGAGGGGUUUGAGGCUAAGGCAGUGAAGAAGGGUUUGUAUGUGAUAGUGGACAUGCCUGGCGUUGAGGAAGAGGACGUGGAGGUAUCGCUUGAUAAUGACACCGUUUUUCGUCAAAGGUGAAGCCCAGAAAGAAUGGGAGCAAGGAAUACAUGGCAGGUUGUACUGUGGGAGCAUCGAUCUUCUGCCAGAAUCGGGGAUGAAGGUUGGUGUUCUUAAGAAGGAUCUGAAGAAGUGUGUUGUAACAAUGGUCCUGGAUGCUUCUCGUGGACGACAAUGGUCACUCAGUUUACCAGUAACAAUCUUGAAUUCCCUGCUGUGAUAAAGAAUUUCUUCUUCUUUACCCUCCAGGUCUGAUUUGUAGUUUUUUGCUCUUUGUUUUAGUCAAGUACUAGUUUGUGUGUGUAUAAUCUACAUGCUUAAGAUGUUUUAGUUUUAGAUACAGAUAAAUACAGAAGUUAUUUUAUCCAUUGGACUCUAAAGAAAAAUUUAAGAGCUGUGGGAUCAGGGGUCUCUGAUGAUGUGUGUUUGGGUUUUCUGUCCGAGUCUCGUCUUCCUGAUAUGCCUUCCUCCUAUGCAUGCAUAUUAGAGGAUAGUUUGGCACUGCAUAUUAUUUAG